AUGUUACAAGGCUGCAGCUAGAUAUUGUUCAUGCUAUGGCUAGAUAAUUGGCAUCCUAUGGUAUAUUGUUGGAAAGCUGAAGCUAAAGCAAAUUUUUCAGCCUCCCAUUAUUGCCUCAGCUUUGGCUAUCAUCAUUGGCGCUAUACCAUUUUUGAAGAACUUCAUCUUGACUGAUGAUGCCCCGCUAUUCUUCUUCACUGACAGCUGCCUUAUUCUUGGGGAAGCGAUGAUCCCAUGUAUUUUGCUUGCUCUGGGUGGAAAUCUUGUUGAUGG